GCCGCCGUAGCUCAGACCGGUAGAGCGCUGGCCUUGUAAGCCAGUGGUCGCGGGUUCAAGUCCCGCCGGCGGCU
rnacentral:tRNA from 2 species